rnacentral:pre_miRNA from 1 species
GUUGAGGGGAAUGUUGUCUGGAUCGAGGAUAUUAUAUAUAUAGCCAUACAUGUAUAUAACUGAUCGUAAUACGUAUAUAGAGAGUAUCCUCGGACCAGGCUUCAUCCCCCCCAAC